AACGUAGGACACAAGCGUUAUCCGGAGUUACUGGGCGUAAAGGGCGCGUAGGCGGCCUGCUAAGUCGAACGUGAAAUCCCUGGGCUCAACCCAGGAACUGCGUCCGAUACUGGUUGGCUUGAAUCCGGGAGAGGGAUGUGGAAUUCCAGGUGUAGCGGUGAAAUGCGUAGAUAUCUGGAGGAACACCGGUGGCGAAGGCGACGUCCUGGACCGGUAUUGACGCUGAGGCGCGAAAGCCAGGGGAGCAAACGGG
rnacentral:rRNA from 1 species